rnacentral:piRNA from 1 species
UCCAGAUAUCUUUCAUAAAUGCAAUCAUGC